ACUAUAUUUAUUGGCCUAUAUAAGCACCACAACCUUACACGAUAGGUUUUACUCUAAUCUGUCUCUACCUCAAGCUUAUAUUAGUUUGGCCGCCGUCAAAGAGUUUUUUGCAGGUACCCCUUUUAAUCUUUUCUAGAACCUUACGACUUUCUGAUCAAAUUUUUUUCUCACAAAUCUUCAUCUAACCAUCGCUCGUUUUCAUAUCUUGUUUUCCACUCCAAUCGCACUCCAUCAUCUAACAACUAUGAAACACCUUCAUAUCUAUCAUUUUCCAUUUCAAUGGAUCUCAUAUCAAAAUUAGAUCCCUACUAAUUUGUCUAUCGAUUUUCCAAUCUCCCCUCAUCCAAUUUUUUUCUCGUGAAUCCGUCUGAAUCUGAGUAAUUGAUGUUUAGGGGAAUUGGAGGAUCUGUUGGUCAAUAAAAGAUAUUUCGAAAAUUUUAUUUUUGAAUCUCUCGUUUAUUUGAUUUGCGUCGACCUUACACAUCUCUCGUGAAUCAGGUUUGUUCACUUUGUCAUGUUUAUAUUAAGUUUAUAAUUGAUUGA